rnacentral:rRNA from 1 species
CCUAAGGGAGGCAGCAGUGGGGAAUAUUGGGCAAUGGGCGCAAGCCUGACCCAGCAACGCCGCGUGAAGGAAGAAGGCUUUCGGGUUGUAAACUUCUUUUCUCAGGGACGAAGCCAGUGACGGUACCUGAGGAAUAAGCCACGGCUACCUACGUGCCAGCAGCCGCGGUACUACGUAGGUGGCAAGCGUUAUCCGGAUUUACUGGGUGUAAAGGGCGUGUAGGCGGGGACGCAAGUCAGAUGUGAAAACCACGGGCUCAACCUGUGGCCUGCAUUUGAAACUGUGUUUCUUGAGUACUGGAGAGGCAGACGGAAUGCCAAGUGUAGCGGUGAAAUGCGUAGAUAUUAGGAGGAACACCAGUGGCGAAGGCGGUCUGCUGGACAGCAACUGACGCUGAGGCGCGAAAGCGUGGGGAGCAAACAGGAUUAGAUACCCGUGUAGUC